UACGGAGGGAGCUAGCGUUGUUCGGAUAUACUGGGCGUAAAGCGCGCGCAGGCGGCCUCGCGCGCCCGACGUGAAAGCCCCCGGCUUAACCGGGGAGGGUCGUUGGGGACGGCGGGGCUUGAGGGCGGGAGAGGUCGGUGGAAUUCCCGGUGUAGUGGUGAAAUGCGUAGAGAUCGGGAGGAACACCUGUGGCGAAGGCGGCCGACUGGGCCGACCCUGACGCUGAGGCGCGAAGGCGUGGGGAGCGAACGGG
rnacentral:rRNA from 1 species